rnacentral:rRNA from 1 species
GGGGAAUUUUGGACAAUGGGCGCAAGCCUGAUCCAGCAAUGCCGCGUGCAGGAAGAAGGCCUUCGGGUUGUAAACUGCUUUUGUACGGAACGAAACGGUCUGGGUUAAUACCCUGGGCUAAUGACGGUACCGUAAGAAUAAGCACCGGCUAACUACGUGCCAGCAGCCGCGGUAAUACGUAGGGUGCAAGCGUUAAUCGGAAUUACUGGGCGUAAAGCGUGCGCAGGCGGUUUUGUAAGACAGGCGUGAAAUCCCCGGGCUCAACCUGGGAAUGGCGCUUGUGACUGCAAAGCUGGAGUGUGGCAGAGGGGGAUGGAAUUCCGCGUGUAGCAGUGAAAUGCGUAGAUAUGCGGAGGAACACCGAUGGCGAAGGCAAUCCCCUGGGCCUGCACUGACGCUCAUGCACGAAAGCGUGGGGAGCAAAC